GUUUGGGGCACUGCAACUCAAUACUCUGAACAGCUCACACCUCCUUCCCUGGGAAAGAAGCACAGAUGAAUACGACACAAAGACAAUCCAGAUCUGAUCACCCAGUUGCCAUCUAACAUGGCCUCUUCGCCAGAGCUUGUCUUCCUCAUGCUGCUGUCAAGACGGAAGCUCUGACUGCCCUGGCCACAGCAUCCACACAGAAAGGACACCAGGAAUCCUGAGCACUCUUUGUUAAGGACAGGUUUCCAGUGCUGGCUGUUCUGUUCACAGCUACAUGGCUCUGCAACUCUCUCCUACUGCUGUCACCAGCUGCAAGUUCUAUCUACUUACAGAUACACAACUGAAGUCUAGAUCACUAAAACAGAUCUUUAAAACACAGACAGGCGUUAUGUUGCUGCAGUAUAUACAUUUUUAUGAGAUUUCCAAGGAGAGUGAAAGACACAUGUCAACAUCCAACCCUCAAAGCAGUGCUAGCUCCUGCCCCAGCUACAGCCAGUGGCAUCACGCUGUAACGACAGCUGUGGGACAGCUCUGGGUAACACACAGCAGGGCAGGUCGUGAGACAGAUGCCCAGAAGAGUCUGCGACUUCUCGACUGAGCGCUGUCUGUGCAGGGCACAUAGCUGGAGCUUAACCCCUCGCCAUGCCCGCACCCGCUGCGGUUCCGGGCUCCUGUAGCACGGCACACCUCGCCCGGCCCGCGGCCCCUCGGGGCUUCUCCCACAGCCCCGGGCGCAGCCGGGCUGCACGGAGGGCGGAGGGCCGCGGCUGGGGCCGAGACGGACAGGGCGGGGCUGGGACGGGAGGACUCAAGGAGUGCGGGCGGGCCCCGCCAUGGCCGCGGGAACGCUUCCUGCGCCGCUCCGAGGGUCCAGUCCGUCCGCCGCCCGGAACGGGGGGAAGGGUGGGCAGGAGAAGCGGCGGCCAUGCCCACCGUCUCAACAGACCAGGCCCACAAAGGCAAGCGCCCGCCAGCAGCCACCGGGACCCGCCGGGAGGAGGCCGCCCUUCCCCCCGGCAGGCGGCUGCCGAGGAGGCCCCACACACACAGCGGGCCCGACAGGGCGGCUCCCGCACAACGGACGCUCCGACCGAGGUGAAGGCCAGGGGUCCAUUGCUGAUAUAAGAAGGCCAAAGACCCACAGUUCCUCCUGCUGGGACACUCCUCGUGGCUGGGAGAUGACACCCCAGAGCAGCGGGCACUUAUGGCAGAUGAUUUUCAAUGAAAUCCCUGCCCUGUCAACCAAAAAGGCACCAGCUGGGUAGAGGCUGAGCCGAGCAGAUGAGAUCAAGAAUCUGGAGAGACCCUGGAGUCCCCCACAGGGCACCAUCUCACCAUUCCUGCAGAAACUCAUCCUUGCCAAGCAUCACAGGAGGCUCCACCUCAACCAGCUUCAUCCUGGUCUGUGUUCCAGAUGAUGUGUUGCUUUGGCUCUAGAGCACCUUCCAGUAUUUCUGGAAGUCCAACAAUGCAUAAGCAAUAUUGGGGGAAUGGUUCCCCUUUCCAUCAACCCCGUCCUGCACCAGCCUCAUUCCCCACUUCCCACAGUGCCAAGAACACUGAGCAUGACUAUGAGCUCAUCAUCUCCAUGUCCUGUCUCUUGAGACCUCCUUUGUCUUUCCAUACAAAGCCACAGUGGUUUUGCUUUUUGGGGGCAAAUCCAAGAGAAAGACUUGACAGUGCCAAGAGGAACUGCAGAACACCAGUGAGUUGUGGGGUAUGGAGGGCCAGGGGUGUCUGCUGGACACAUAUGACAUCCCACCAAAGGCUACAGAGGUCCACAGCCACCACCCCCAAUCCUCUUGUGCACGCCAUGGUACAGACAUUAAUGAUGGAAACAGAUAAAACCAGGGCAGGAAUCCUCACUUCCCAGAGGAGCAUACAUCAAGACAGAAGAUCCGGUGUUGCUAUAAUUAGCACCACACAAAGUCCAUACAGUAAUUAACUUUCUCCCUUCCAAGUUAAGAUAUAAUAGCAUGCAGUAAAAUCAGACUCAAGGUGAUAAAAAAGCAGAGAAAAAGCCUGUCAAAUUCAGCACCUGUAACUUGAUAAGGAAUUAAUUAUAGCCUGGUCUAAUACUAUUACUACUAAUAAUAUUAAAUUGCUGUUAAUAUGCUCUUGUGCUCCAAGUGAGGAAAGAUAUUGAGGAAAAUGUCCCAUAUUGAGUCCAAGGAACAGGUUUCUGCCAAACAGAGGCUCCACCAUGCUGGGAUAUAGGUGAGCUACUGCAAUGGGCAGAGCUAGGAGAAGAAAAUCUGGGACAAAAAAAAACCUGGGCUGCUAGGGAGCUGCCCCAAACCUCCUAAUCCUCUGUAACGCGAGCAGGAAACAGCUCUUCCCAUGAGGAACUGUCACUGCCAGCAGCCUUGAGCAUCUCCCAAGGCAACUCCCAGUGUGUGGGGAUGAGGACAGAGAGACAGUAGAGAUUUGAGGCGAGGCUGUGUCCUGCAAAGGGGGAAUAAACUCCAGCAAUGGCAAAACACAGUGACAGUGCUGGCCCCCAAGGGUCUCGUUUUUGCAGAUGCCCUCACAGCUGGGCUCCACCAAGAAGCACCAACUGCAUCCAUAGCCUGUCCAGACCCCAGGGUCAGAAUUCAGCUCCUACAAGUGGUCCCCAACCCUCCUUAUGUUUCCCAUAGAGGUGGCAAGGCAAUUGUGCACAUGCAAUGUGUGGAGCAGCAUAUAAGAUCAUCUUGUCAUGUCAGGAAAGUGAGCAAGUCAUGGGAGAAUCCGACCAGAUCUAAUGUUACAUAUCAGGAUCCAACCUGGACAUCCUCUCUAUCAAUAAAUUCCAACUUUGGCUCCUCACAGAAAAGCAAACAAGUUCCUGAAGAAGCCCUGUGUGGCUGGGCAGAGGGAGGAUAUCUCCUCAGCAGCUCUGAUUUUUACUUCUCUCUAGUUUUCCUAGGUGGAAAAAACAUGCUGGAAGUGUCCUACCAGCUCUACGUGCCACUAAGUCUUCCUGGCAAAAGCUUAAGGUAUUUUUGCCAUACAAGAAGAACACAGGGCCUGUCUUGGUGGUACAUGUGAGAUCACAAUUGCUUUAUUUUGCUCACCCCACUGCUCUGCCAUAAAGUCAUCCAGUAUUCUGCCUCUGCCUGGCAGCUCAUGCACUCAAAUCCAAGGGGGAAUGCACGAGGUACACAUCAUCUGAAGAGCACCUGAAGUCUGCAUGGCCCUUUUGAG